rnacentral:lncRNA from 1 species
UCCUGCCUGGUGACCGCUGGGCUUCUCUGGUCAGCCGCCCCCCUCCCGCCCUGGGGACCACGCUGCAGACCCCCGCGGCGCCUGCGGGGACGGGGUCCUGCAGCCCGGGGAGGAGUGUGACGACGGGAACGACGACGGCGGCGACGACUGCAUCGGCUGUCGCCGGGCCUACUGUGGAGACGGCCACCAGCACCGCGGCGUGGAGGGCUGCGACGGCUCUGACUUUGGCUCCCUGACGUGCGAGACCUAUCUCCCAGGGUCAUACGGAGACCUGCGGUGCACCCCGUACUGCUCCAUCGACUCCACGCCCUGCCGCUACUUCACCUGAGGGCCGCCCGGAGGAGGCGCCGCGCCCCGCGGCCCCGGCGGCGCUCCUCACCGCGUCCGCCCACUGCGCACCGUCCAGCCCAGUCGCAACCCGCCUCCGAGUGGCGGAACGAAAACCAACUCUUGCCUCCGAGACACGCUUUUAACUCGACCCGACGGAGGGGCCUGGGGCCGCGGCGCCCGCCUUCGCCCAAGUGCACCCGCCAAGCCCGGCCC